UACGUAGGUGGCAAGCGUUAUCCGGAAUUAUUGGGCGUAAAGCGCGCGCAGGUGGUUCUUUAAGUCUGAUGUGAAAGCCCCCGGCUCAACCGGGGAGGGUCAUUGGAAACUGGGGAACUUGAGUGUAGAAGAGGAAAGUGGAAUUCCACGUGUAGCGGUGAAAUGCGUAGAGAUGUGGAGGAACACCAGUGGCGAAGGCGAUCUGCUAGGCCUGACCUGACACUCAGACGCGACAGCAUGGGGAGCGAACGGG
rnacentral:rRNA from 1 species